rnacentral:lncRNA from 1 species
AACUAGCUGCCAUUGGUAGGCGGACGGAACUUUGGGUAAGUGGGCCUUGAUUGACUACUGGGGAAACAAAGAGAAGGCAUUUCUGUUGGCUGUUGAGAAGCAGGAAGUAUAUGGAGUUAAAGUAGGAAGUACAUGAAACUAGCUGCCAUUGGUAGGCGGACGGAACUUUGGGUUGCAGGAGCCAGGUUGGAAUUAUCUUGGGCUGCUUAUUUUGGUUAUUACUGGCCUCUAUUUGCCAUUUGAGGCACCCUCUAUGCUUUGAGAGUUAGCUGGCAGCAAACACUGCCUCCUGCUACAGGAGCACACAGUGUUGGUGCCUCCUUUUCCAGCCUCCAACUCCAACAGGAAACAAGCACAGGACCCAGGCAUUGCAGAAAGAUUCAACAUGCCAACGUGCAUUCAGAGCUACUGGCAGUGGCAAAAUAAAUGGAAAAUACAGGACAAUUUUUGAAGGAAAGGUGUGUUUGUGUCUGGUGAGAGUGCUGAGUAACAAAGGAGGACAUAUUCCAAAAAGAGCAAGAAAACACAGGGAUAUUUUUAUAAUGAACGACGACCUAAAACAGCCUUCUUCUCUUUUUUUCUUACAUUUCAAAAAUUUAAACAAUGUGACUGACUCUCUCUGUAUCGGUAAUACCAUGACAUAUGUUGGCGGU